GAUGAACGCUGACAGAAUGCUUAACACAUGCAAGUCUACUUGAUUCUACUUCGGUAGUUGAUGGUGGCGGACGGGUGAGUAACGCGUAAAGAAUCUGCCCUUUAGUUUGGGAUAACCUUUGGAAACGGAGGCUAAUACCGGAUAUUAUGGAGACGUCGCAUGACGACUUCAUGAAAGCUAUAUGCGCUAGAGGAGGACUUUGCGUCCCAUUAGUUAGUUGGUGAGGUAAUGGCUCACCAAGACCGCGAUGGGUAGCCGGCCUGAGAGGGUGAUCGGCCACAAGGGAACUGAGACACGGUCCUUACUCCUACGGGAGGCAGCAGUGGGGAAUAUUGGACAAUGGGCCACAAGCCUGAUCCAGCAAUUCUGUGUGCACGAUGAAGGUCUUCGGAUUGUAAAGUGCUUUCAGUAGGGAAGAAAAAAAUGACGGUACCUACAAAAGAAGCGACGGCUAAAUAUGUGCCAGCAGCCGCAGUAA
rnacentral:rRNA from 1 species